UUUCAUAAGUUCAAUAUUCCUCCCACUGCCUCCUUCUUGGAUGAGUUUAUUUUUCAAGAAAGUGGCGUGCCUACUAACGAACAUCUUUUGUUCAGUAGGAUGGUAGAAGUAGUAUCCAUUAGUUUCCUUAGGAUAUCCUACAAACUUACACUUGUCUGAUCUAGCACUAAGAUUAUGUCUAAAAAGAUUUAUGAUAUAAACGGGAUAGCCCCAA
rnacentral:lncRNA from 1 species